GUUUAUCGGCGGCAACCAUUUGUAAAUUUCAAACUCGUGUAAACAUCAUCUUUUUGGACUCUUUUUAAGCUUCUUUGACGAGGAAAAGCGCAGAUCAUGAUGGUCAUCAAGUGUAAUUACAGAUGGAACAGAUUAAGAUAAUUUGGGAAUAUGCAGAGAGACAGAAAUAAAUGUCAUCAAAGCAAUGUUGAUGCGGCUGUACAUGGCCUGACGAAUUCGUAAGGUUAACCAAACAUCACAAACAACCAAGGCAAGUCGAUGCAAUAUGUGAUAACGUUUUUAUCGCAACCUUAUUUCUGAAACUUAAUUUAAUUUAUAGAAUUUUGAAUAUAAACAAAAAUUAUAUUGAAAAAUAAUUUGAGGACGAAAUGCAUUACACUUGUUUGUUUAUUACUAAAAAGGGUAUUUAGACAUUUGCUUCCAGUAACUGUAAAAUGUCGUAUCUCUCUUUAGAUGGAGGAAUGCGUGUUCUGUAGCAGACCCCUCGACGCAGCACCUACCGUAAAACUCCGCCAAAAGGGUUGUGUCUCCAUCAACAAAGCAAGUGCUGAAAGAAAUACCCCAAUCAAUGUCAAGCCAGGCCAAGAUGUUCAUGUUGAGUGUAGAAGAGACUUUAUUCACAAGAGAAACAUGACUGUGACUACUGACUCAAAUAACAAUUUGAUUUCAACAAGAUUGACAAAUGAUUUUGAUUUCAAAAGUAAAUGCUUAUUUUGCUCAAGUUAUGCCAAGUUUGAAAACAGGAAACGGGGAUUAGAUGUAUUUCCGGUUCGUUCACUUGAAUUCCAA